rnacentral:rRNA from 1 species
UACGUAGGGGGCAAGCGUUGUCCGGAAUUAUUGGGCGUAAAGAGCGUGUAGGCGGUCCGGUAAGUCGGCUGUGAAAGUCCAGGGCUCAACCCUGGGAUGCCGGUGGAUACUGUCGAGCUCGAGUCCGGAAGAGGCGAGUGGAAUUCCUGGUGUAGCGGUGAAAUGCGCAGAUAUCAGGAGGAACACCAAUGGCGAAGGCAGCUCGCUGGGACGGUACUGACGCUGAGACGCGAAAGCGUGGGGAGCAAACAGG